rnacentral:rRNA from 1 species
GACGAACGCUGGCGGCGCGCUUAACACAUGCAAGUCGAACGGAAAGGCCUGCUUUCCCUUGUGGUUUGCGGGUACUCGAGUGGCUAACGGGUGAGUAACACGUGAGUGAUCUGCCCCCAACUUGGUUAUAAGCCUGGGAAACUGGGUCUAAUUCCCGAUAGAACUGCAGGGUGGUGCCGGUGGUGGAAGACGAUCUUCUAGUGGUUGGGGAUGAGCUCGCGCCCUAUCAGCUUGUUGGUGGGGUAGUGUCCUACCAAGGCGGCGACGGGUAGACGGCCUGGGAGCGUGGACGGCGGCAUUGGGACUGAGACACGGCCCAGACGCGUAGGGGAGGUAGGAGUGGGGAAGAAGGGAGAAUGGGCGGAAGCCUGCUGCAGCGAGGGAGCGAGGGGGAUGACGGGCUUCGGGUGGUAAACUACUUGGGACGGAGAGGAAGGCAAGUGGUUGGAAGGGUGGUGACGGUAGUGGUAGAAGAAGCACCGGCUAACUACGUG